rnacentral:rRNA from 1 species
UACGUAGGGGGCCAGCGUUGUCCGGAAUCAUUGGGCGUAAAGAGCGUGUAGGCGGUCCGGUAAGUCGGUUGUGAAAGCCCAGGGCUCAACCCUGGGAUGCCGACCGAUACUGUCGGACUAGAGUUCGGAAGAGGCGAGUGGAAUUCCCGGUGUAGCGGUGAAAUGCGCAGAUAUCGGGAGGAACACCUAUGGCGAAGGCAGCUCGCUGGGACGUUACUGACGCUGAGACGCGAAAGCGUGGGGAGCAAACAGG